AUAAGAAAACGUAACACAAGAAGAGAAAAUACAAUGGUUAAAGUCAUUGUGUUUUCUGAUUUGCUGUUGUGUUUUCUCUUUUUGUGUUGUGUUUUCUCUG